AUCGAAUGAAACAAUACUUAAUGUUUUCAUGGUGAACGGGUGAGUAACACAUAAGAAUCAGCUUUUAGAUAAGGCAUAARAGAGUAAUAUCUUGGUAAUUCCUUAUAUGCGCAGCAGUGCUUAAAAAGGGGAGUCCCGUCUAAAAACGAGCUUAUGCCUGAUUAGCUAGUUGGCGAGUUAAAAGCUCCCCAAGGCGAAGAUCAGUAGCUGGCCUGAGAGGGCGGCCARCCACAUUGGGACUGAGACACGGCCCAAACUCCUACGGGAGGCAGCAGUGGGGAAUCUUCUGCAAUGGGCGCAAGCCUGACAGAGCGGCGUCGUGUGAAGGAAGAAGGCCUUAACUAGGUUGUAAACUUCUUUUACUGAGUAAUGAAUAAUGACAAUGCAGUAAAAAAGUAUCGGCUAACUCCGUGCCAGCAGCCGCGGUAAUACGGGGGAUGCAAGCGUUAUCCGGAAUCACUGGGCGUAAAGCGUCUGUAGGUGGUUUAGUGUGUUCUUAGUUAAAUUAUGAAGCCUAACUUCAUGAAAAGUAAGAAAACUAUUAGACUUGAGUACGAUAGGGGUAAGAGGAAUUCUUCGAGAAGUAGUGAAAUGCGAAGAUACGAAGGAGAAGAUCAUAAGCGAAGGCUUCUUACUGGGUCGUAACUGACACUGAGAGACGAAAGCUAGGGGAGCGAAUGGGAUUAGAUACCCCAGUAGUCCUAGCUGUAAACGAUGGAUAUUCGGUGCCGGAAAUUGAUUAGAACAUUUCNGUACCCUAGCUAACGCGUUAAAUAUCCCGCCUGAGNAGUACGCUCGCAAG
rnacentral:rRNA from 1 species